UGUCUUCAGGGCGGGGUGAAAGUCCCCACCGGCGGUAUAGUCCGCGAGCGCUUCGUUUUUUCGAAGGCAGCUGACCCGGCGCAAUUCCGGGACCGACAGUGAUAGUCUGGAUGGGAGAAGACG
rnacentral:ncRNA from 1 species